CAAGAAUUUACUAAUUUGAUGUCAUCUUCUUUAACAUGCUCUGUGCCCGACCUGCCAUAUUCAACCAUAUCAAUUUUGACGAGUGCCGUUAGCAUUGGCUAAAAAAGGUGGAGCUUGGAAAUAUUAUGGAUCAGCGAUUGAUAAGAAUUUGAUAGAAAACCCUUGCUAAAAUCCGA